rnacentral:rRNA from 1 species
UACGGAGGGAGCUAGCGUUGUUCGGAAUUACUGGGCGUAAAGCGCGCGUAGGCGGCUUUGUAAGUUAGAGGUGAAAGCCCGGAGCUCAACUCCGGAACUGCCUUUAAAACUGCAUCGCUUGAAUCCAGGAGAGGUGAGUGGAAUUCCGAGUGUAGAGGUGAAAUGCGUAGAUAUCGGAAGGAACACCUGUGGCGAAAGCGGCUCACUGGACCAUAACUGACGCUGAGGCGCGAAAGCUAGGGGAGCAAACAGG